rnacentral:rRNA from 1 species
GCGGAGGAAAAGAAACCAACAGGGAUUGCCCCAGUAACGGCGAGUGAAGCGGCAACAGCUCAAAUUUGAAAUCUGGCGCAAGCCCGAGUUGUAAUUUGCAGAGGAUGCUUUUGGUGCGGUGCCUUCUGAGUUCCCUGGAACGGGACGCCGGAGAGGGUGAGAGCCCCGUACAGUUGGACACCAAGCCUUUGUAAAGCUCCUUCGACGAGUCGAGUAGUUUGGGAAUGCUGCUCUAAAUGGGAGGUAAAUGCCUUCUAAAGCUAAAUACCGGCCAGAGACCGAUAGCGCACAAGUAGAGUGAUCGAAAGAUGAAAAGCACUUUGAAAAGAGGGUUAAAAAGUACGUGAAAUUGUUGAAAGGGAAGCGCUCGUGACCAGACUUGCGCCCGGCGGAUCAUCCGGCCUUCUGGCCGGUGCACUUCGCCGGGCUCAGGCCAGCAUCGGUUCUUCUGGGGGGACAAAAGCAGUGGGAACGUAGCUCCUCCGGGAGUGUUAUAGCCCGCCGCAGAAUACCCCCGGGGGGACCGAGGACCGCGCUUCGGCAAGGAUGCUGGCGUAAUGGUCACCAGCGACCCGUCUUGAAACACGGACCAAGGAGUCAAGCAUUAGGGCGAGUGUUUGGGUGUCAAACCCGCACGCGAAAUGAAAGUGAACGCAGGUGAGAGCUUCGGCGCAUCAUCGACCGAUCCUGAUGUUUUCGGAUGGAUUUGAGUAAGAGCCUUACCGCUUGGACCCGAAAGAUGGUGAACUAUGCUUGGAUAGGGUGAAGCCAGAGGAAACUCUGGUGGAGGCUCGCAGCGGUUCUGACGUGCAAAUCGAUCGUCAAAUCUGAGCAUGGGGGCGAAAGACUAAUCGAACCAUCUAGUAGCUG